GUCUAAGGCCAUACCACACUGAACGUACCUGAUCUUGUCUGAUCUCAGAAGCUUGGCAGGGUCAGGCCUUGUUAGUACUUGAAUGGGAGAAGAAGUGGUAAUGUUACCAUGGAUU
ensembl:rRNA 5S_rRNA 5S ribosomal RNA